GAUUACCUUCAAAGGCAUGAUGGUCUGAGGUACAGUUCUGACACGUCUGCAUGGAUAAGUGACAGCAGCUGUAACAGAAGGAAAGUUACAGAGUGACUGGAAGAAAGCGGUGGAACAAUGGAUGCGUAUUGGGAAAUCUGAGGAUAACUAGUGCAACACACAAAUUUUAACCACCUCUAAAAGUGGUCUUGGCCAGCAUUCAGCGUGUGCAGAUGUUAAUGUUAGCUUUGAAGAAAAAGGUGUUAAUUGCUAUUUUAGAGCUGUUCUUGUUGGAGCAUUGCUGCAUGAAAGGUUACUAAUGGUAACAUCUGAGGGGAGUAUCUCCUUUAUAGAUGAAAAGUGUGAACUAAGUGGCUAUUGUCUGGCUUUUGUAACUGUCCACUUCCAAGAAGUAAGUGUGGGUGUAUUCAUGUUGAUGCUGCAGCAGAACAAACAUUCCUGUGCUACUGUUAGGCCUUGUCUACACUGCAGAGUCUUAUCCAGAAAAGGCAGCCUUUGUCAGCAAAACUGUGGAGGUGUACACACUGCAAUGCCACUUUUGGCGGCAAAGUUAAAGCAACAAAGUGUCAGUAUAGAUGCUGCUGUUCAUUAUAUUGCCAGUACUCGCCUCCCCUAGUAUUUUUCAGUGCCCGUCGUGACUGAUCUGCUCACUGUUUGGAACUCUGCUGCCCUGCAUGCAUGUGCCCCUCCCCUUUCAAAGCUCCAGGAAGUUAUGGAAUUUCUGACAGUUGAGCUCCAGCAGCAAAGAGCAAAUCAUUAAUGUGGAAUGCUGCUGUCUCCUGUACUAGGAACAUAGAGGCAGGUGUGUGCGUAUGAGAAACUGCUGUGCAGAGCCAGGUGGGAGCUGAUGUGUGCGUGGGGGGAAGAGGGAGGGUGUCUCCCUGCCUCAGGACUAGCUGAUUCCAGCAGCUGUCUGAACUUAAAGACUACACAGUCACACUCCCCCCAUACACUUCAGUUAAAAAGCGGAUGGCAGUCUAGUAGAAUUCCCAAGGAACCAUGAGCUUGAGAAACCUGCACCAUGUGAUGCUGUUCUGUGCCUGCCCCAUGAGACAUUGCAAAUCCUUCCUAAAGCACCCUGUGGCCGGUUGCACGUUGGGAUAGCUAUCCACAGUGCACUGCUCUGGGUCGAUACAAGAGUAACUAGUGUGGAUGUGCUGCACUGACACAAAGAGCAUAGUGUGGACAUGCAACAGCGGUUUAAUUGAAGUGGCAUACCUUCUGUUGAUAAAACUCUGGAGUGUAAACAGUUUUAGUGAACAGUUUGCAGAAACAGUUCCGCUGAGCUGAAAAUGGAACGACAUGUCACUUAAGCAAAAGCAACUGCCCACUCAGUGGGAGGGAGGACUUGCAAACACAAGAACAUUUUUAUGUUUCAGGGUAUUCUGCAUAGGCAACUUAAUUUUCCAACAUUUAGAUCCUUUUUUGGGGGUAGGAGGCGGGAGAGUUCUUUCGUACUACAUGCCACAAUUUGACCUAUGAGUUAUGGUGGCAGUUUUGUAGGGAGUUGUCCACCACCUAACAUAACUGCAUUUGUCCUGUAAAGUGAAUUUUUUGGAAAUUGCAAGAGCAGAAAUAGAUUUUUCCCUUUUGGGUCAGAGGUAAUAUUCAUGAACCUAAAAUGAGGUGUAGAGGACUUCUGGGGAAUGUUAAUAUCCAUCCUUGGAGUUAUUGGUACCCUUGUACCAGCUAGCAUCUUUCAUAAAUGGUUACUUCCAGAUAUGAUCCUUCUAAGAUAGAGCUAAUUAGUUCGUAUGGAAUCUUGUCUUUUAAGUACAUCUCCAGGUUGUCUGUAUUGCAUUUGUACUCUGUAUUACGCAUGUUUAUUGCUUAUUUUGCCAAUAUAUGGUACAAGUGAAAUCCAAUUUUCAAGCAUCAAUAAUUCUGUAUGCUAUCCCUCAUCUUUCUCAUUGGUCAUGGUUAAUAAACUUUACGUUGACUGAA